CAGGCCUAACACAUGCAAGUCGAACGGUCCUUUCGGGGAUAGUGGCAAACGGGUGCGUAACGCGUAAGCAACCUGCCCCAAACUGGGGGAUAGCCCGGCGAAAGCGGGGGUAAACCCGCACGGUCCAUUUCCACCACCUGGUGGGCUUGGUAAACAUUAAUGGGUUUGGGAGGGGCUUGCGUCUGAUUAGCUAGUUGGCGGGGUAAGGGCCCACCAAGGCCAUGAUCAGUAGGGGUUCUGAGAGGAUUGGCCCCCACAUGGGUACUGAGAUACGGACCCAACUCCUACGAGAGGCAGCAGUAGGGAAUAUUGGGCAGUGGGCGACAGCCUGACCCAGCCAUGCCGCGUGGAGGAUGAAGGCGCUCAGCGUUGUAAACUUCUUUUACCGGGGAAGAACGGCAGUCCUGGGGGAUUGUGUGACGGUACCCGGGGAAUAAGCACCGGCUAACUCCGUGCCAGCAGCCGCGGUAAU
rnacentral:rRNA from 1 species